rnacentral:lncRNA from 1 species
AUCAAAUUCCAGCAGAUGGGCUGUUCUUGGACGGUUAUUCAUUGCAAGUGGAUGAAUCGAGCAUGACAGGAGAAAGUGACCAUAUGGAAGUAGAUGCCACCAGGAACCCGUUCCUUUUUUCUGGUUCGAAAGUGGCAGAUGGUUAUGGUCAAAUGCUUGUAGCAUCCGUGGGAAUGGAUACUACAUGGGGAGAAAUGAUGAGCUCGAUAACCAGCGAUAAAAACGAAAGAACUCCACUACAAGAACGACUUGACAGACUUACCUCUUCUAUCGGAAAGGUAGGUCUUGCGGUUGCCUUUCUAGUCCUUGUAGUCUUAUUAAUUCG